rnacentral:rRNA from 1 species
UACGGAAGGCAGCAGUGGGGAAUAUUGCACAAUGGGCGCAAGCCUGAUGCAGCCAUGCCGCGUGUAUGAAGAAGGCCUUCGGGUUGUAAAGUACUUUCAGUCGUGAGGAAGGUGUUAAGGUUAAUAACCUUAGCAAUUGACGUUAGCGACAGAAGAGGCACCGGCUAACUCCGUGCCAGCAGCCGCGGUAAUACGGAGGGUGCGAGCGUUAAUCGGAAUUACUGGGCGUAAAGGGCACGCAGGCGGUUAAUUAAGUUGGAUGUGAAAUCCCCGGGCUUAACCUGGGAAUGGCAUUCAAGACUGGUUAGCUAGAGUCUUGUAGAGGGGGUAGAAUUCCAUGUGUAGCGGUGAAAUGCGUAGAGAUGUGGAGGAAAUACCGGUGGGCGAAAGGCGGCCCCUGGGACAAAGACUGACGCUCAUGUGCGAAAGCGUGGGGAGCAAACAGGGAUUAGAUACC